rnacentral:rRNA from 1 species
GAUGAACGCUGGCGGCGUGCCUAACACAUGCAAGUCGAACGGAGAUUACGGACGGAAGUUUUCGGAUGGAAGCCUGUAAUUCUUAGUGGCGGACGGGUGAGUAACGCGUGGGCAACCUGCCCUAUACAGGGGGAUAGCAGCUGGAAACGGCUGGUAAGACCGCAUAAGUCGGUUAAAUCGCAUGAUUUGAUCGGGAAAUGAGCAAUCAGGUAUAGGAUGGGCCCGCGUCCGAUUAGCCAGUUGGCAGGGUAAAAGCCCACCAAAGCGACGAUCGGUAGCCGGACUGAGAGGUCGGACGGACACAUUGGGACUGAGACACGGCCCAAACUCCUACGGGAGGCAGCAGUGGGGGAUAUUGCACAAUGGAGGAAACUCUGAUGCAGCGACGCCGCGUGAGUGAAGAAGUAUUUCGGUAUGUAAAGCUCUAUCAGCAGGGAAGAUGAUGACGGUACCUGACUAAGAAGCCCCGGCUAACUACGUG